rnacentral:rRNA from 1 species
UACGUAGGGCGCAAGCGUUGUCCUGAAUUAUUGGGCGUAAAGAGCUCGUAGGUGGCUUGUCACGUCGGGUGUGAAAGCUUGGGGCUUAACUCCAGGUCUGCAUUCGAUACGGGCUGGCUAGAGGUAGGUAGGGGAGAACGGAAUUCCUGGUGUAGCGGUGAAAUGCGCAGAUAUCAGGAGGAACACCGGUGGCGAAGGCGGUUCUCUGGGCCUUACCUGACGCUGAGGAGCGAAAGCGUGGGGAGCGAACAGG